AGGAGGAACAACCGCAGUGGCAGGGCCAGCUCUGGCGCCCCGGAGUCAGCCCCCUCAGGAACUCCGGAGCUCUCCGUCUGCAGGGCUGGAGGCUCCGGGGCGGG
rnacentral:pre_miRNA from 1 species